rnacentral:rRNA from 1 species
UUCGGAUUGUAGUCUGCAACCGACUACAUGAAGCUGGAAUCGCUAGUAAUCGCGGAUCAGAAUGCCGCGGUGAAUACGUUCCCGGGUCUUGUACACACCGCCCGUCACACCAUGGGAGUCGGAAAUGCCCGAAGUCUGUGACCCAACCGGAAGGAAGGAGCAGCCGAAGGCAGGUCUGAUGACUGGGGUGAAGUCGUAACAAGGUAAC